GAACGCUGGCGGCAGGCCUAACACAUGCAAGUCGAACGGUAACAGGAAGAAGCUUGCUUCUUUGCUGGCGAGUGGCGGACGGGUGAGUAAUGUCUGGGAAACUGCCUGAUGGAGGGGGAUAACUACUGGAAACGGUAGCUAAUACCGCAUAACGUCGCAAGACCAAAGAGGGGGACCUUCGGGCCUCUUGCCAUCGGAUGUGCCCAGAUGGGAUUAGCUAGUAGGUGGGGUAACGGCUCACCUAGGCGACGAUCCCUAGCUGGUCUGAGAGGAUGACCAGCCACACUGGAACUGAGACACGGUCCAGACUCCUACGGGAGGCAGCAGUGGGGAAUAUUGCACAAUGGGCGCAAGCCUGAUGCAGCCAUGCCGCGUGUAUGAAGAAGGCCUUCGGGUUGUAAAGUACUUUCAGCGGGGAGGAAGGGAGUAAAGUUAAUACCUUUGCUCAUUGACGUUACCCGCAGAAGAAGCACCGGCUAACUCCGUGCCAGCAGCCGCGGUAAUACGGAGGGUGCAAGCGUUAAUCGGAAUUACUGGGCGUAAAGCGCACGCAGGCGGUUUGUUAAGUCAGAUGUGAAAUCCCCGGGCUCAACCUGGGAACUGCAUCUGAUACUGGCAAGCUUGAGUCUCGUAGAGGGGGGUAGAAUUCCAGGUGUAGCGGUGAAAUGCGUAGAGAUCUGGAGGAAUACCGGUGGCG
rnacentral:rRNA from 1 species